GUGCCAGCGCGGUAAUACGAGGGGGGCAAGCGUUGUUCGGAUUUAUUGGGCGUAAAGGGUGCGUAGGCGGUUUGGCAAGUCUUGUGUGAAAUCUUUGGGCUCAACCCAAAGCCUGCAUAAGAAACUGCCGGGCUUGAGUAUGGGAGAGGUGAGUGGAAUUUCCGGUGUAGCGGUGAAAUGCGUAGAUAUCGGAAGGAACACCUGUGGCGAAAGCGGCUCACUGGACCAUUACUGACGCUGAGGCACGAAAGCUAGGGGAGCAAACAGG
rnacentral:rRNA from 1 species